rnacentral:lncRNA from 1 species
CAUAGGGGCCGAAUGCAUCUGUGAUUGUGAGCAACUAGAAAAGAUAAUCUUUACUACAUCUCUCAGUAAUGGCGAUCAUUGACCUGUGCUCAAGUAUCGAGUUCUGAAUUCGGAUAAAUAUAGAUUUGAUCUACUGCUUACAUCCAUGCAUGCAGAUUUUAUCAUGUGAUUAUUUCAGAUUUUAUAUGCAACAUAUCAUGUCGU